rnacentral:rRNA from 1 species
GGUUAAGCGAAUAAGCGUACACGGUGGAUGCCUAGGCAAUCAGAGGCGAUGAAGGACGUGCUAAUCUGCGAAAAGCGUCGGUAAGGUGAUAUGAACCGUUAUACCCGACGAUAUCCGAAUGGGGAAACCCAGUAUCCAAUGAUACUAUCAUUAACUGAAUCCAUAGGUUAAUGAGGCGAACCGGGAGAACUGAAACAUCUCAGUACCCCGAGGAAAAGAAAUCAACCGAGAUUCCCCUAGUAGCGGCGAGCGAACGGGGAGCAGCCCAGAGUCUUAAUCAAUAGCAGUGUCAGGAGAACGGUCUGGAAAGUCCGGCAGUAAAGGGUGAUAGCCCCGUAUCUGAAGAUGCUGUUAUUGUGAACUCGACGAGUAG